rnacentral:tRNA from 1 species
GCCUCAGUGGUCGAAUGGAGAAGACACUCGCGCGUUAAGCGAGCGAUCCAGGUUCGAUUCCUGGCUGGGGUA